AAGACGCCCUGGAUUUAAAGACGUGCUAUCCCACCAGCUCCUGUAGGAGCUCAGCACCGCGUUUGGCCUGUUGCGAUCUUCCCGCUCCCCUCAUUUCUGUGCUGCAACGCCACCAUGCACGAGAAGUCAGGAUUCACUUGGCAGGGAAGACAACCAUGGAAUCCAAGGGCUGUGGACAACCAUCUACCAGAUGGUUGUUGAAGAUGCCUUCGGUCACGUCAUUUGUCCUUUUAGCUCGCCCUUUCCUUUAUCUUGAGUUGAAUUUUUGUGCAGCGCUAUGUUUGCAGUGGUAACACUGCUGCUGAGGUGUUUUCGAUUAAAAACGAUCUUAACUGUAAUAGUGAAUUCACUGAGUGUGGCUUUGUAUAACGACUUCCACGACCAUAACAUUUUUCUCCUUUGUCACAGAUAGGAGGAAAACUCUUUAGAGAGAGAUGGAGAAGGAAUUAAUUAUACCUCUGCCUCAUCCCAUGAGACCAGAAGACGUGUAGUAACUGUAAGCUGCGAUUCUCAGGAGACAUACUAAGCAUCUCUGGUUCCUUCUCGGCCUGCCCCCCUAAGGCCUUAGGGAUGAGAAAUCUUAGGCUUAAUGUUUUUCCCUAUGAAAUACUGUCGUGUUAAGGGGCGUAGCUGACUAACUGUUACGGGUCUGGUCGGAUUCGGGGUACUGAACUACCACGGUCACGGAUUCACCAAUAACGUAGCACACCCUCGCUCUAGUUGUGUUCAAUGAGAACUGUCACGGCUAGGAACAAUGCAACGAAGGGCAGUUUAUUACAGCAACAGGGACACAGGUUCUUUGGAAUUGCCGGCGAUAAAUUCACUGUCCGCAAAAGCAAGCGAGCACGCAUGAAAUACACGGCAUCCCAGUGCGGGGGGAAGAGAGGCUCAGCCCGUCGACUGAUCCCGGAAGUCAGAAAGCUUUCUGAACCAGCUA
rnacentral:lncRNA from 1 species